ACACUCCUACGGGAGGCAGCAGUGGGGAAUAUUGGACAAUGGGCGCAAGCCUGAUCCAGCCAUGCCGCGUGAGUGAUGAAGGCCCUAGGGUUGUAAAGCUCUUUCACCGGUGAAGAUAAUGACGGUAACCGGAGAAGAAGCCCCGGCUAACUUCGUGCCAGCAGCCGCGGUAAUACGAAGGGGGCUAGCGUUGUUCGGAUUUACUGGGCGUAAAGCGCACGUAGGCGGACUAUUAAGUCAGGGGUGAAAUCCCGGGGCUCAACCCCGGAACUGCCUUUGAUACUGGUAGUCUUGAGUUCGAGAGAGGUGAGUGGAAUUCCGAGUGCAGAGGUGAAAUUCGUAGAUAUUCGGAGGAACACCAGUGGCGAAGGCGGCUCACUGGCUCGAUACUGACGCUGAGGUGCGAAAGCGUGGGGAGCAAACAGGAUUAGAUACCCUUGUAGUCCCAUGAU
rnacentral:rRNA from 1 species